CCCGGAUACAUAUCCGUGGCGUAUCCACGUAUCCCCGAUUAAAUGGGCCGAAAACUUCGGAUCGGAAACGUUUCCGCGCCUGGAUUCGGCCCAGCCGGCCCAACAUCACAGCACAUCCCACCUCCUGCCCUACUCCCGUGACCCGUCGGGCGUCGGCUCUCCCACGCGCAGCCGCCUCACGCAGCGCAUCGCCGCAUCCUCCCGCUCGACCUGACGGCUGACGCAGCGCCUCCGCCUCUCGUCGGCCGCCGUCCGCUAGCCGCCGUCCGUGAGGCCGCCUCCUGCCAGCCGCCGUCCGCCUCCCGCGGCCACGGGCCGCGAGGCCGCCUCCCGCCGGCCGCAGGCUGCCUCCCGUCGGCCUCCGUCCGCCCGUGAUUACUCCCGUCGGCCUCCGGCGUAAGGAGCCCCAGCCCCUGUUCAGGAAACAUAGCUGAAUGGCUUCAAGUGCACGGAAUAUCAUGUUUCGGCAUCUCAAGACACUAACUAUAAGCCCUGCACUGGCAUCUGGUGUGACCAGUCAGCAUCACCAGCUUCAACAGCGUGCACCAGUGAGUGGCACAGCCAAAGGAAAGGCCAAGCUCAAAGCAGGACAGCAAUUGAAGCGUUCCACCAUCGGGGCAAAGAAAGGGGCGCCUUCCACUGGUGGGGGUGGGGGUGGGGGUGGGGGUGGACGUGGUCGUCGUGAGGCCAUGGAGCGCAUUACUCAGAUUUCAGAGUCUUGUCUCAAUGCCUCUACUCCCCUGCGGCACUUGUCCCCAAAGGAGCGUCUUCGUGAGGCCAAACGUGAGGAGCUUGGACUUAUAUCCAAGGAGAGGCAACGCGAGCUUGAUGUAGCCAAGGCCAAGGCCAAAGCUAAAGCCAAAUCCAAAGGUACUGGUGCAGAUGAUGGAGACCAUGUGCUGAUGGGUCCACCGGGCCUUGACUAUAUCAGUCUUGGGCUGGUUGAUGAGGAGGCAAUCCCCAAGUAUGAGCUCACAGUCGAGGAUGGUAGGCGACUUGCCAAAGAAUACAGUCGUGUGCUUAUGCGGCGGCACCGUGCAAGACAAACAGCUGAGUCAACGCUUCUGACACUCAAAAAGGAGGCCAUUGCUGCGCUCCCUGAGAAGCUGCAAGCUGCUGCUAUGGUACCUGACAUGACACCUUUCCCUGCAAACCGGUACAUGGCGACACUCACACCACCAAUUGAAGGAUACAUUGAAAAAGUGCGGGAUGCUGCCAAGAAGCACUCUGUGAAGGAGAAACUUCGCUGAGAAAUUCUAGGGAGGAAACUGUUUCCACAUAAGGAAAACUGUGUUUCUGUUUUUUUCAAUUAAGCUCUCUCUUGCAUUCAGUAAAUCCAGUAUCACUACCUUCAAACAUGCUAUGUCUUGAGUUUGCAUCUUUUAUCAGUAUUGAGUUUCUGGUGAAUCAAUAUUCAGUCUAAUAUAAAAGACAAGUUGUCAGAAACUGUGCAUCUUUGCACAACCUACAAUUGUCAAAUUUUGUGGUCCAGUCAGAAAUCCUGAUUCGAAAGAGCAGCCUUGGUCUAGACAUAAGUCCUUUUGCUAAUUGUUUUUUGUGCAACGCUGCAGCCCACAGGAAUGCUGCUUUCUGUAGCUUUUGCUGGACUGCUAUUGUUCAUUCUUGGGGAUUUUCGAUGUUUGUUGUUGACAGCUGACUUGUGUAAUAAGGGCGCAGCAUGAAUCAGGGAGACUGAAGAAUCUCUUGAUUGUGUAUGAACCGGUUGCCUUGAUUGUGUUUUUCAUGCCUUAUGAUUCUGAUUCCACUUGCA